rnacentral:rRNA from 1 species
UACGAAGGGGGCUAGCGUUGCUCGGAAUCACUGGGCGUAAAGCGCACGUAGGCGGCUUUCUAAGUCAGGGGUGAAAUCCUGGAGCUCAACUCCAGAACUGCCUUUGAUACUGGAGGGCUAGAGUCCGGAAGAGGUGAGUGGAACUGCGAGUGUAGAGGUGAAAUUCGUAGAUAUUCGCAAGAACACCAGUGGCGAAGGCGGCUCACUGGUCCGGUACUGACGCUGAGGUGCGAAAGCGUGGGGAGCAAACAGG